UCCCUGGUGGCUCAGAUGGUAAAGAAUCUGCCUGCAAUGCAGGAGACCCAGGUUCAAGCCCUGGGUUGGGAA
rnacentral:tRNA from 1 species